AUACGUAGGGGGCGAGCGUUGUCCGGAAUGAUUGGGCGUAAAGGGCGCGUAGGCGGCGCGGUAAGUCUGGAGUGAAAGUCCUGCUUUCAAGGUGGGAAUUGCUUUGGAUACUGCCGUGCUUGAGUGCAGGAGAGGUUAUCGGAAUUCCCGGUGUAGCGGUGAAAUGCGUAGAGAUCGGGAGGAACACCAGUGGCGAAGGCGGGUAACUGGACUGCAACUGACGCUGAGGCGCGAAAGUGUGGGGAGCAAACAGGAUUAGAUACCCUGGUAGUCCACACUGUAAACGAUGAAUGCUAGGUGUAAGAGGUAUCGACCCCUUUUGUGCCGGAGUCAACACAAUAAGCAUUCCGCCUGGGGAGUACGGCCGCAAGGUUGAAACUCAAAGGAAUUGACGGGG
rnacentral:rRNA from 1 species